UUUUUUUUUUUUUUGCUUUUUUUGCUUUUUUUGCUUUUUAGGGUCACACCCGUGUCUUAAGGAAGUUCCCAGGCUAGGGGUGGAAUCGGAGCUACAGCUGCUGGCCUAUACCACAGCCCCAGCAACGAGGGAUUCAAGCCACAUCUGCACCCUAUACCACAGCUCACAGCCAUGCCAGAUCCAACCCACUGAGCAAGGCAAGGGAUCAAACCCUCAUCUUCAUGGAUGCUAGUCGGGCUUGUUACUGCUGAGCCACAAUGGGAACUUCUAUGAGCCUGUUUCUGUUGGAUUUCUUUGUUCAUUUGUUUUGUUUUUUAGAUUCCACAUAUCAGUGAAAUCAUAAAGUAUUUAUCUUUCUCUGUCUGACUUAUCUCACUUAGCAUAACUUCCUCAAGGUCCAUCCAUUGUUGUCCCAUGUGGCAAGAUUUUAUUCAUUUUAUGACUGAGUAAUAUUCCAUUGCAUAAAUAUACCAUAUUUUCUUUAUCCAUCUAUUGAUGGACACUUGAGCUGCUUCCAAAUCUUGGCUAUUGCAAAUAAUGCUUCAAUCAACAUAUGGGUCCAUAUAUAUCCUUUCAAAUUAUUGUUUCCAUUUCCUAUAGAUAAAUACCCAGAAGUGAAACUGAUGGAUCAUGUGGUAGUUCUAUUUUCAAUUUUUUUUUUUUUUUCUAUUUCUUUGGGCCGCUCCCGCGGCAUAUGGAGGUUCCCAGGCUAGGGGUCAAAUUGGAGCUGUUGCCACAGCUACAGCAACACCAGAUCCAAGCCACGUCUGGGACCUACACCACAGCUCAUGGCAACACCAGAUCCUUAAUCAUUGAGCAGCGAGGCCAAGGAUCAAACCUGCAUCCUCAUGGAUACUAGUUAAAUUCGUUUCCACUGAGCCAGUACAACAGGAACUCCCUAGUCUCCAGCAUUAUUGUUUAAUUGCUAAUAAACUAAUCUUAUCUCUCAUUCCCAAGAAGAAUUACUAGUAUGAGACUGAUAAUUCUAACAUUUAGUAAACCCUGAAAGUAGGAGACUAGUCAGAAGUAUAAUUUGGGAAUUUCAAUAAAUUGAGGAUUCUGAUCAGGGAUUAUAUAAAUUAGCAUGGUUUACUAGACCUUUUUACCUAAAAUACACACUCUGGAGAACCGAGUUCAAGAAGCAUUAGAAUAUUUUCCCUAAUUUCUAGUACCUAAGCCAUUACCAACUGGUAAUACUUCUCUCCCAGAGAAUUCAGAGUUUCUGCAUGACUUUUAAAAGAGAAUAGGGUUGGGUUUUUUUUUUUUUUUUUAAGUUAUUUU
rnacentral:lncRNA from 1 species